UCAGUUUGGUUCACAGGCCCAGCCUUACUCUGCUUCAGGAGGAGUUCUCCCCAUUUCCGAGAUGACAGAAUGGAAGUGCAGUGCUCAAAACUGAACGAACAUUGCUGACUAUGGCAGGACGCUAUCAUUCCGGUGUGCAGACAAUUCCUAGGAAUAGCCUUUGUAUCCGAGCCAAUGGUGGUGGAGCUGUCCCAGAUGCCAUCGAUACACCGUGGUUGGACGGGCCACCUGCAACUGAGGCAAAGCCCCCGCCACGCUCACUCACGAUUCCUACUGUCAAAUUGUAUAUUAUAAAACACUUGCCAUAAAAGAAAUUUAUUAUA